CCAGGCAGAAAUAACACAUGUGACCCCAAAUUCUUUGUGAUGUCAUAAGGAGUAUUCAUGAAAGCGUAUCUUGGGAAGGCUACGCCUAUUUGGGACUAUGUCAAAGAAGAGUAGAGAGGAAGAGAACGCAAGACUGAAAUGUUAUCAAGAAGGAAAUGAGCAACAGCACAAGACUCAAAUACCACGAAGGAAAUCUUGGAAAUCUUUGAGCCCUUUAAUCCUCUAGGGAAGGAGAGCUGUGAGGCUAGACUCCUCUUGGUUUUUCAUUUACCGCAAUGAAACUUGGUGGAAGUUCAUCCAGAACUACAGGGUUGUGGUUGUUAAUUCAUCAAUGGAAGCAUCAAUUUGUCACUGAAAAGAAAAACAAAUGUCAUGGGAACAAGAUAAAGCUUAUGUAAACUGAAUAUAAUAUUUCUUAAUAGGCUGCUUUCUGCAGCACCAAAUGGAGGUUAUUAUCUACCUCAGGAGGGAUAAGACCAACACAGCAGCCGCCGGGGGGAUUCGUGAGCUGUAAGAAGAUUGUGCCUCUGCUUAUCUCAGAAAUACUUCAUAUGCAUUUUCUUAGCUUGAGAAGUCAAGCUGAAUUUGAUUAAGCACAUGUCUACACAUCACACAAACCCACCCCUACUACAGAAGAGCGUGGAAACUGGAAGAAAAAAAAAGCCAGACACUUCAUGGUGUGAAUCAACUUCUUUCCAAAUGACACAUCCAUUUGAAAAGGCAUAAAUCUUGAAUUUGUUUUCUGGAUAAUGUUUCUUUCUAAUUUCAGUUUUGAUUGUGAUGUAAUGGGUUGGAUCUACAUUUCAAAGCUCGUGAAACCAAGUUUAACUCCAGGACUCUAAGGAUGGAAUCUCCUUUUAUGGACCCAAAUAAAGAACAGUGUGCUGGAUUAUUA